GUCAUUCCCCAUUUCUUGCCAACAGAAACUUGAUUCUUUAACUAUCUGAUGGCCUUGGACAGGAGUCCUCCCCAGCCCAUGGGAAUCCCACUGCUCACCUGUGAUUGGCUUGGAGUGGCCAUGGGAGCUGGUUCUGGCCAAUGAAAUCUGAAGGGCAUAUCUGUUGCAAUUUCCGGGAGAUUUUUCACCCUCUGUGAUAAACGGGGCUACAGAAGAAGCUCUGUCCUCUAGAAAGAGAACUUUUUAGGACAGCUGUGUGAAGAUGUGAUGAACUACUACCUGAGGUAAACUCAAGGGGAAUCCAAUGGAAGGAGGCUGAAACUGGUGGCUGGGAAAGUUGGGCUACUGAAUGCUGGUAAGGACUUCUGGACUUCUGUCACAGAAGACAAUGGGACUCCAAAUGUGUAACUGAAAUGAAAAGCAUCAGAAACUAGUAGGUAACACCUGACAUGGAAAUCACACCACCUUUUUUUUUAUUCCUGGUACUGGUACUGGGGCUUGAACCCCAGGGUGCUUUACUACCGAGCUAUAACCUCAGUUCUUUGUUUUAUUUUCUAUUUUGAAACAGGAUCUCACUAAGUGGCUAAGGCUAGCUUUGAAUUAGUGAUCCUCCUGCCUCAGCCUCCUGACUAUCUGGAAUUAUGGGCAGGUGCCACUGCACCUGGCUGAAUUAAUAACUUUUGAAGAUACUCACAAAGCCUUUUUAGUGCGCUUUAUUGUUUAACAUGUUAUAGGAUCAGUAAAGGCUUG
rnacentral:lncRNA from 1 species